AGCCAAGUUCUUCAAUUGUAGACCCAAUAUCUUCUGGUAGUACGCAAGGAGUAAGGCCUUGUGCCUCUCCUUCAUGUACUUGGCUAUGGUGUAUGGCUUGGACCCAUUUUUCUCCUUCAUGACAGAGCCUCCAUCAUCCGAUACUUGGUUUUUACUUGCUGAUUUGGGGUAUUUUUGUUCUGUGGUCCGACGCUUGACCAUCUAGGAUUCAAACCAGUCGCCCAUACUCUUCUUGCUCUGCAGCUUCCUGUAUUUUAACAAACGGUUGAUCAUUGGUAAAACUUUAUUCUCUACCUCUUCUCGAUUGAUUGGAUUCUAGCUUCUUUUCCUGAAGUGAUUUUGAAUGUCAAGAGUUGUAAAAUAUAGUGGUGUCAGACAAAUGCCAAUGACCAAGUUGCAUGCUCGACUGAAGCAGCCUUAUGCUUUCUGGCGUGCGAUUUAAAAAUAUGCUGCAGCUUGAGUCUAUUUUCUGCUGUUGAUUAUUCUCGCUACGGUUUUAAAAUCAUAACAUCAUGAGGUUGCUCAACCAAGGCUGACUUUGGAUAGAUGUUCAAAGAGAUUCGAUCUUUUUAUUUGGAAACUCAGAUUCAGGAGACAAUGAACUCUUGCCCAGAUAACCUCUCCUCUCCUUGCAAGAAGAUGGUGAAGGAUGAGGUCAAGGUUCCAGAGUCGAUUGAGGAGACGAUGAACUCUUGACCAUAUGAUCUCCUCCCCUUACAAAAAGAAGGUGAAGGAUGGGGCAUCAUGCAUGGUUCCGGAGUCGGCAGGUAAACAUGUAAAGAAAAGUCUGGCUGAGGGUAAUAGUGUUAGAAGCCAGAGUAAAUAUUCUUCCUUCAUCUAUUUUGAUGAAACUUUUGAAGAAAGAAGAUGAAAAACUGCCUCAAAAUUGGAAUUAGAAUUUUUUUAUUUCAAAUAAGCUCCUAAACAGAUGGACUAAUGGCAACCAAGAAAGAAUGUGGAAAGCUUAUGAAAAAAUGGAAUUGUCUUUGAUCCUUAGAACAAAUGGCAUCCCAAAUAUGACUCCUGGACCCCUAAGAUUAAUGGACUACAACCCAUAGAUUACUGAAUAGACCAUGAAGUUCUGUACCUUUUGGAAGAAGAAACCAUAUAACCGAUUAAAGGAAAAGGAAAAGAACAUGAUUGAACUCGGGCAGUGAUGAAAUAUAAAUGUAGCUAAUAGUUAUUGAUUUGCUUUAUUGAUACUUUCAUUAAAUUGAAUACGAUUUUACUGAUAAUUAAUGAUUGUCUACAAUCAAUGUCUGCAAAACUUUUGUUCCAGAGUUGGAGUUUCUUAUUAUGAUUUCAGCAUCCGCCAACUUCAUCUGCUUGAAGUUUGAGAAGGUGGCAGUGCCGAAUUUCCUUUGGUUGAUAUAUGGUAUGAGUUUUAAGUUUCUUUGUUAGGAAUGGAUUCUAUUUCUUUCAGUCCCAUUCUUUUGGUACUUGUCUUUGAUAAUUGAAAUAAAAGAGCUUUGUUUUUGUCUCUUGUGGCUCACAUUAUUUUUUUUGCAUCCAUGUAAUCUUUACUCAAUUUCUUUGUUUGAAUUUGUUUUAACAAUAGACUUCAUAUGCCUUCUUUUAUUCUGUAAUCUUGGCUGCAUCAUUUGCAACCUAGAGGUAUGCUACUCAUCUCUUGGCUGAUUUAUAAACCUUGCUUGGGGGCCUCGUUUACCCUUUGGAGUGAUGCAGAUGAAACAUCUGACGCUCCUGCUGUGAAGCUUGUGAAAGUUCAAUUUUCAGCUAUGAGCAACCCAUGUCACAGGUAUGGAAGUAACCAUAGGCAAAAUGUUUGCUGUUGUUCUUGGAGAUAUCAACUUGGCUCAAUUUAAUGAGUCAAAUAGAUUUUCUGAGCAUCUACAGACUGUCCCUGUUUAAAAUCUCCGAAGUAAAUUGAUUUGUAUUGUUUUUAAAUUUGGCAGAGGUGCUGUUGCAUAUUCUUUCUUCUUGCUUAAUCUUUCAACUACUUCUAAACUUCAUAUUGAUGCGUCAUACGCAAACUCAUAUAGAUGAAAUUUGACAGUUCUUUAUAGUUUUCGCUUUUCUGAACCAGAAACAGUCUUUGUUAUAACUGGACAUAUCCUAUUAGUGGUAUUCUAUGUCUUACAGUACGUAAAACACACUUCACUGUAAUUUCUAGACUUCAGUUCAAAUUAUCUAAUUUACGUUGAGCAGAUACUCUACCAUAUUAUUUUAUCUUUACUUGUUGCCUCUAUGGUAGCUUAGCCACAAAUUGAAGUAGUGUCUAGCCUGGAAAUCAGCAAGAAGCAAUUACAGGGAACCUCUCCAAGGCCGGGCCUUGCCUUCGGACAAAAUUUUAAUGUUUAUUACCAAACAAAUGAGUUACAAAUUUACUUGGUUUAUGAGUUUUUGGUUUCUCAAGCUGCAGUAAGCUAUGAAAGACGAAGAUGAAUUUUGAUGCAUCUCUUAUUUCCUUUUUAAGAUUAGGUGUAUUAGCCUAUGCCUCUUGGAGUCUUCCCUAUUGGGUGCAUCCUAUUGGCUGCUUUUAGGAUAACUAGUGCUUAUCGUGGAGACAAAAAAGGUGAAAAUUUUAAUAGGUACUUGUAACUCUGGUUGCUGGCCCUAAUAAAUACUUUGAUGUAGUGUGGGUUCAGUUAAUAGGGUAGAGAUGUUGUCAUAAAGGAUGGUUAACCCACAAACACGAGGACAAACCUCCUUGGGAAUAUUUUGAAUUUCUCAAUAUCUAAGUGCGUAUUUAACCUUGGGUAGCACUGGCAUACUUGUAAAUUAAAGAU